rnacentral:rRNA from 1 species
GUCGUAACAAGGUUUCCGUAGGUGAACCUGCGGAAGGAUCAUUAUUGAAAUAAACCUGCUGGGUUGUUGCUGGCUCUCCAGGGAGCAUGUGCACGCCUUGUCAUCUUUAUAUCUCCACCUGUGCACCUUUUGUAGACAUCUUUCCAGRUGUCUAUGUUGACCCUUCAUUUGCCCCCCAAUGUAUGUCAAUAGAAUGUUGUGUCCAUGAUAAUAAAAUCUAUACAACUUUCAGCAACGGAUCUCUUGGCUCUCGCAUCGAUGAAGAACGCAGCGAAAUGCGAUAAGUAAUGUGAAUUGCAGAAUUCAGUGAAUCAUCGAAUCUUUGAACGCACCUUGCGCUCCUUGGUAUUCCGAGGAGCAUGCCUGUUUGAGUGUCAUUAAUAUUAUAUAUCGAACCCUCUUUUGUUGAGUGGUUUGGAUGUGGGGUUUGCUGGCCUCUUGAAGAGGUCAGCUUCCCUGAAAUGCAUUAGCAGAACAACCUGUUCGUUCAUUGGUGUGAUAACUAUCUACGCUAUUGAACGGUGAAGGCAAGUUCAGCUUCCUAACCGUCUUUGGACAAUUUAUCAUCUAUAUGUGACCUCAAAUCAGGUAGGACUACCCGCUGAACUUAAGCAUAUCAAUAAGCGGAGGAAAAGAAACUAACAAGGAUUCCCCUAGUAACUGCGAGUGAAGCGGGAAAAGCUCAAAUUUAAAAUCUGGCGGUCUUUUGGCUGUCCGAGUUGUAAUCUAGAGAAGUGUUAUCCGCG